AAGGAUCCUAUUUGCUGAAGCAGGAAAGGACUUCAUAGAUUUCCUCUUCUCUCUUCUAUCCAUGCCAGUUGGUACUGUAAUAAGGCUUAUGUCCACCAAGGUCAUGGUGGGUACCUUAGGCAAACUCUACCAAAGCUUAGAAAAUCUAAGCGAAACUUACAUGCGGUCUAAUGUGAACAAGGAUACCCUUCUCAAACCCCAGUCUUUUGUCCAAGGUGGCUCUGCGACUCUUUUUGCCUUGACCGAUAAUGACACCUUGAGGUGCAUACACGGAUCCUUGUAUUGCUAUAUGAAUUGAGGGCAACUUAAUUUGCUUAUUGGUAUAGCACUUUACAGCAUCUUUUUCUUAGUUAUAAAUCUGAUUUUUUAAACAUACUGCUGCUUGAAGUAUAUUUUAAGGAAUAUUUUAUUCAUUAUUGCAGCAGUUUCUCUGGCUCCUUUCCUUGUUGCACUUGUUCAUAGUUGUUAUGAAUGAAUGGUUUAAAAUAUUUAUUAUACUUACAACUGCAUGACAAGACACUGCAGUAGUCUAUUACUCUAAUAUUAGAAAGUAAUUAGUUGGUGUAAAGCUUUUACUGCAUCCUAGAAUUUUAAACACCAGAUGAUUUAUCUGCUAAUUUCUGUCCUUGUAGGGAAGGUUCUUGAGCUUUAUUUUGAGAUGUUGUCCAUAUGUAUAAUAACUAAGGAAAAAUUGAAUGUUUUGUCAAUCAAGUGUUAUACUUUUAAAGGGUCGAUGUUUGCAUUAAGCUAUCAUCUAUGGUGUACAUGAAUUUAUUGGUUAAAUAUAAAUUCUUUUGUUAGCUUGUCAGAAAUUCAGAAUGCAUGUGGCAUAAUGGAUGUUCCUAUAGAAAUGCUUAGCGCAAUUGAUCCAAAGAAUAAAGAGGGCCUUAGACAAGAGGUUAUUGCUGAUUUGGUGGAACAGUACCGAACAUAUAAGCAGAGAGUGGUACACCUUGUUAACUCCACCUUGGAAGGCUUCAAACUUCUUUGCUCCAUAGGUGUGUGCUUUUGUUCUUACUUGGACUAUGUGACAAUUGGAAGAUGUUUCGGAUAGAAAAGCAAAGGUUUGAAUUCA